UGCGCGCACGACUGUUUAGAAAAGAAACCGUUGUGGUUUGGUAUUUCAAGAGUCGCGUUGCAGGGUUUGGGAGAAUUGCAAAUUUAGGGUUUUCAAUCAACGGGUUUCAGGGUGUCUCAAUCAGACCACAUUAUAGAUCGCCGGUUUCAGAUCAAUCAACUGGAUGUAGCCGAUAAUCACAGUAUAUUUGAAUCAACAGGUUAUGGUUGUUGUAGAUGCUUCUGUAGCGGAAGAAUUUGCUGAGGUGGCAACCAAGCCAUUGAAAGCCUUACCAUAGGUUACACAUGGUCAAACGUUUAUGGCAUCAGAGAAACCAGAAGGGUCCCAAUUCAGGUGUUGGCAGAUUUUUUUUAACAUGUUGGUUUAUUUUACGUGAAAGAGGUAAUAACUUCUCAUCUCAUAUUUUUUUACAAGUAUAGUUUGACCCAUUUACUUUUGGAUCCAUCGAUUCUGGUUACAUUUUUCAAACAGGUCCAAAGGGUAUUUUUAUUAGUAUGUGAAUUAUGUAAAACGUUUUUACAGAGGUUAGGGUAUUAUUGAGAAAAUAUAUGUGUUUUAAUCAUACUGACUCUUAUUUAUAUAACAAUAGAGGUCCUGGACAAUAGAUUAUAGAGGUCCUGGACAAAGUAUUUCGUGUCAACCCAUCCUGAUCUGUAAUGGGUCAAAAUGGACCAAAAAGGGUUGGGCCAACUUACACUCUUUUUUUUAUAAUUUCUUCGUUUUAUAAAGUUAUAAACAUGCAAAGUAUGACUCAAUAGGUCUUUAAAAAUUAUAGUUCAGUUUGUAACUUUGUAUGGGUUUUAAUCUGUUCGACCCUUUUGAUCCAUUUUCUUUUUAGUUAAACCAUUUGACCUGUUAAAUGUAAGACACUGAAACUGAUAUAUGUGUAAGUUGAUGGUCAUUUAUUAAUGACAGUCUGCCACAGUUCUGCAUUUUUAUUAUUUGUUUAUUUGCCAAUAUAGGAACCUACUGUACCCAAUGAAGUCAAGUCUAAGACCACCCGUAAUCGUUUAGAUUUGGGCGUUUUUAAGCCCAAGCACGCCCCCAAACGACGUUAUCACCACUACGCCCCUUUGAUGACUAGGAUUACACGUGGCGCAAAACGCCCUAGGGUGGGGCAUUAUUCACCCCCCAACGACUACGCAUGGUCUAAGCCACUUGCAGAGGAAAAAAUCUGUUGGUAAACAGCCUAAUCUGGCCUGUUUUGGCCCGCUACCCGAGCCUCCGAUUUUGACACCUAUACCUGUUUUUCUUUCACCUUGGCUUACUAUUGAUCAUGUUCUUGUAUGUCCGUUUACAUCUGUAACUGUACUCGACCCCUGUGAAGAUAAACAAUGUUUUUGUGUU